rnacentral:lncRNA from 1 species
AUGGGGUCUGUGGGGUCUAUGGGUUCUCUAUGGGUGUCUAUGGGGUGAUAUGGGGCUCUAUGGGGGUCUAUGGGUUCUCUAUGGGGCUCUAUGGGGUCUCUAUGGGGCUCUAUGGGGUCUCUAUGGGGCUAUAUGGGGGUCUGUGGGGCUGUAUUUGGUCUAUGGGGUGUCUAUGGGUCUCUAUGGGUCUCUAUGGGUCUCUAUGGGUCUCUAUGGGGUCUAUGGGGUUCUAUUGGUCUCUAUGGGGUCUAUGGGGUCUCUAUGGGUCUCUGUGGGUUACUAUGGGGUCUCUAUGGGGUGGGAUCUGUGGGUCAGGGCUCUAUGGGGUCUCUCUCUCUGUGCCCCACAGGUCCCGUCAGCCCCACAUGGCGCCACUUGUGGGGCCGGAGCUGCUCAGCCCCAUUGAUGACGGCGGCGGGGAUGGGGCCAGCCCCACAGCAGCGCCCCAUAGCGUAGCACCCCAUAAGCAUAGAGCCCCAUA